rnacentral:rRNA from 1 species
GACGAACGCUGGCGGCACGCCUAACACAUGCAAGUCGAACGGUGAAGAGGAGCUUGCUCCUCGGAUCAGUGGCGGACGGGUGAGUAACACGUGAGCAACCUGCCUUUCAGUGGGGGACAACAGUUGGAAACGACUGCUAAUACCGCAUAACGUCAUUUGAGGGCAUCCUCGAAUGACCAAAGAUUUAUCGCUGAAAGAUGGGCUCGCGUCUGAUUAGAUAGUUGGUGAGGUAACGGCUCACCAAGUCGACGAUCAGUAGCCGGACUGAGAGGUUGAACGGCCACAUUGGGACUGAGACACGGCCCAGACUCCUACGGGAGGCAGCAGUGGGGAAUAUUGCACAAUGGGCGCAAGCCUGAUGCAGCAACGCCGCGUGAGGGAUGACGGUCUUCGGAUUGUAAACCUCUGUCCUUGGUGACGAAACAAAUGACGUAGCCAUGAGGAAGCCACGGCUAACUACGUGCCAGCAGCCGACGG